rnacentral:sRNA from 1 species
GGCAGAUGCUAGCGCAGGCGCAGGGGCUCGAGAGGCCUGGACCUGUGGCGCAUCCUCAGUGAGGAGGGCCGACCUGCACCCGUCGCCGGCCCCGGUCUCCAGGGGCUUCACCCGAGUCAUGCCCCGCUAUUGCGCAGCGAUUUGUUGUAAGAACCGCCGGGGACGAAACAAUAAAGACCGGAAGCUGAGUUUUUAUCCAUUUCCUCUACAUGACAAAGAAAGACUGGAAAAGUGGUUAAAGAAUAUGAAGCGAGAUUCAUGGGUUCCCAGUAAAUACCAGUUUCUAUGUAGUGACCAUUUUACUCCUGACUCUCUUGACAUCAGAUGGGGUAUUCGAUAUUUAAAACAAACUGCAGUUCCAACAAUAUUUUCUUUGCCUGAAGACAAUCAGGUAUUGCAGUAUGGGAGAGGGGUAAUGCUGAGCAGAGUGGCAGAUUUCAGGGUGGCAGGUGAUCAGGUGGGAGAGUAAGAGGGAACUAUAACUUGGGUAAACAGAUACUUGGAAAAAAGGGAGCACUAAUUUGUGCUUUUACUAAAAGUGAUAAUUUAAAAAAUUAAACUCAUGAAGCACAGCUUAAGAGAAGCAAGAGAUAUACAUUAUUAAGUUAUUAACACAAGUUCAUGAGUUUUAUUUUUUAUACUUUUUUUUUUUUUUUUUUGAGACAAGGUCUCAUUCUGUCACCCUGGCUAGAGUGCAGUGGUGCGAUCUCAACUCACUGCAACCUCUGCCUCCUGGGUUCAAGCCAUUCUCUUGCCUCAGCCUCCUGAGUAGCUGGGAUUACAGGCGCCUGCCACCAUGCCCGGCUAAUUUUUGUAUUUUUAGUAGGGAUGGGGUUUUCACCAUGUUAGCCAGGCUGGUCUUGAACUCCUGACCUCAGUUGAUCUGCCUGCCUUGGCCUCCCAAUAUACUAGUCUUUUGAAUGAUCUGAAAUGUUUCUGCCGUAUAUUGAAUGGGAUUAAUGCUUUUUAGAAAAUACUUUAAGGUAUAUAUACUCUGAACUUUUUUUUAACUAAAUAAAUUUGCUUGGCCAGUGUACUACUCAAUAUUAUAAUUAA